rnacentral:rRNA from 1 species
GACGUAGGGUGCGAGCGUUGCUCGGAAUCACUGGGCGUAAAGCGCACGUAGGCGGAUUGUUAAGUCAGGGGUGAAAUCCUGGAGCUCAACUCCAGAACUGCCUUUGAUACUGGCAAUCUCGAGUCCGGGAGAGGUGAGUGGAACUGCGAGUGUAGAGGUGAAAUUCGUAGAUAUUCGCAAGAACACCAGUGGCGAAGGCGGCUCACUGGCCCGGUACUGACGCUGAGGUGCGAAAGCGUGGGGAGCGAACAGG